rnacentral:rRNA from 1 species
GCGUAACGCGUGGGAAUCUGCCCUUGGGUGCGGAAUAACAGUUAGAAAUGACUGCUAAUACCGGAUAAUGACGUAAGUCCAAAGAUUUAUCGCCUAGGGAUGAGCCCGCGUAGGAUUAGCUUGUUGGUGAGGUAAGGGCUCACCAAGGCGACGAUCCUUAGCUGGUCUGAGAGGAUGAUCAGCCACACUGGGACUGAGACACGGCCCAGACUCCUACGGGAGGCAGCAGUGGGGAAUAUUGGACAAUGGGCGAAAGCCUGAUCCAGCAAUGCCGCGUGAGUGAUGAAGGCCUUAGGGUUGUAA